rnacentral:lncRNA from 1 species
CUUUGGCAUCAUGUCGGGGUUAAUGAUGAAUGUUGAUAAGUCUAACUUAUACAUAGCGGGAGUCCUUCAGCAAGCGAAGGAGGAAUUUCAUGAAAUUGCUUGCAUCCCUGAAGGUUAUAUGCCUUUUCGCUACUUGGGCAUUCCUCUUGUGGCGGCGAAAUUGAAAAUCAAUAGCUAUGAUGUUCUUUUAAACAAAAUUUCAACUUGUACUAUGGCUUGAUCAAAGGCAUCUUUAUCUUAUGUGGGUAGAAUGGAGCUUGUGAGAGCCGUACUUCAAGGGGUUGAGUGUUUUUGGUUAUCCAUUUUUCCUAUCCUUGUCACGGUUGCUUCUAGAGUUAUCUCUCUUUGCCGAAAUUUUCUUUGGAGAUCUAAGAAACCAUUGGUGGCUUGGAGUGAUAUUUGCCUCCCUAAGGAAGAAGGGGGACUUGGGCUUAGGGAUAUUAAAACUUGGAAUGCUCCUUUAUUGGCCAAAACACUUUGGAAUAUUCAUUGUAAGAAGGAUACUUUAUAGAUUAAAUGGGUAAAUCAAGUGUACCUUCGGGGGAGUGACAUUUGAAUGUAUACAAUGAGGAAAGAUGACUCCUCUUUUUGAAAAACUGUUGGAGAUCGGAGAUAAAAUUCUGGGGGCCGAGCACACUCAUGAGGCUGUUGUUCAUAAGCUGUUCAGCUGGAAGUCUGACGACAGAUUCUGCAAUUCUAUUGUAUAUGAUUUCUUUCGGCCGGGAGGAACUAAGGUAAUAUGGGCUAGUUCAGUUUGGAACACAUAUGUGACACCUAAGCAUGUAUUUAUCUUGAGGUUGGCAACUAAAUCGAAACUACUUAUGAAGGACAUAUUACAAUAUCUUCAGAUUGACUGUAAUUGCUGUUUUUGUGAACAAAUGGAAGAAACUGCUCGCCACUUGUUCUUCGAUUGUCCAGUUAGCAAAUUAGUUUGGCACAUAAUCCGUGCAUGGCUUGGCAUUCAAAGGUUAAUGUCCACACUUGCUAGCACUCUCAAAUGGAUCAAGAAGGAAAGUAGGGGAAAAUCUUAGCAUAGCAAAGUGAAGCGUAUUGCACUUUCUUCGACGGUUUACUACAUUUGGAUGGCAAGAAAUAGGAAGAUUUUUGAAAACCUUAUACCGCAGAUUGAUAGCAUUGUAACUCUGAUCAAAACACACGUAUACAAAGUCAUGUUUUCUUUGUAUCCUAAUGUUUUGAUCCAAUAUGAGUCUUUGGCUAUGGGUCUUUAGAUUGUUUUGUUGGACUUUAUUAUUUUUAUUUUGUUUUACCCAGGAAUGCUCGGUAU